UGGGAAUUUUGGACAAUGGGCGAAAGCCUGAUCCAGCAAUGCCGCGUGUGUGAAGAAGGCCUUCGGGUUGUAAAGCACUUUUGUCCGGAAAGAAAUCCUUGGCUCUAAUACAGUCGGGGGAUGACGGUACCGGAAGAAUAAGCACCGGCUAACUACGUGCCAGCAGCCGCGGUAAUACGUAGGGUGCAAGCGUUAAUCGGAAUUACUGGGCGUAAAGCGUGCGCAGGCGGUUUGCUAAGACCGAUGUGAAAUCCCCGGGCUCAACCUGGGAACUGCAUUGGUGACUGGCAGGCUAGAGUAUGGCAGAGGGGGGUAGAAUUCCACGUGUAGCAGUGAAAUGCGUAGAGAUGUGGAGGAAUACCGAUGGCGAAGGCAGCCCCCUGGGCCAAUACUGACGCUCAUGCACGAAAGCGUGGGGAGCAAAC
rnacentral:rRNA from 1 species